AUGGCCGCGGAGGCUGCCUCGGCCCCGUCGUCCUCCUCCCACCCGCCCGCCGCGUUCCCGGCUACGCGCCAGGAAAUCCAGGCGGCCAUCGCCAAAGCCACGGAGCUGCGCGCGCUCCACGCCGCGCUCCUGCAGGGCGGCGGCGCCAAUGCCGCCGCGUGUGCCGCCUACGCUGACGCCGGCGCCGGCGCUGGACGCAGCCCCGCCGUCAUCCGCGUGCCGCCCGCCGCGUCGCCGGCGUUCCCCAGGGCCGCUGCCGUCGCCGAGGACUACCCCGUCUUCACCCCGGCUUAUGGUGAAGAGCCUUUGGGUGGAAUGAACUACAUUCGCCAAGACAACCGGAGCCUAUCUGAGAACUGGAGCGGAAUCGGUCUAGACCAUGAAGGUGCUGAAGAUGAGGUGGCCUUCUCGGAUCUCGACAAUCACAACACCUUCUCUUCAUCAAACAGCGAGCUCCAUUUCUCUUCAUCAAAUGAGCAUAUGCGGAACAGAAUCCCUCGUAGAAACCAUCAUUCCUUCCUUCAUCCUGCUCUCUCCGCUGACAGUUUCCUCAAGUCGGCCAGCAGGGGAACAGAUUCAGCAGAAUCGAAGGCCACGACCACGUGCAACACUUGCAAGCCUGCGACAAUCAGCAGGGACCCUGAAGCUGAUGCCAAUGCUCCGAAGAACCUCAGCAGUGCUGUGCCACAGUCGAACCACCACCCCUCUGUCGGCUCGCGUACAAGGCAAAAAGGAACAAACGUGCUCUCAUGGCUGUUACCCAAGUCGAAGAGGAAGACGAAAUCGGACAUGUCACCGAGCACUGCCGAAUGUGAGAACAUGUCGCAGCUUCUCAAGGAGUGGGGGGUGUUUUCAGUAGAAUCUCUGAAGAAGGAGCUUGCGGAGGCCAAUGAGCAUAGGGACGCUGCUCUUCAAGAAGUUGGAGAGAUGAGAUCAUCUUUGGGAGAACUAACUAGCAAGCUGCUGAGCUUGGAAGCGUAUUCCAUAGAACUGAAGAAGGCUCUAAAGAAAGCAACAAGCACGAAAAACGCGCAAUCUCACUCGAAGAGGUCAGCAAGGUCAGUGGGUGUCAGCAGGGACGAUUCAUUGCCCGUCAGCCAGGAAGUAAUGGUGGAAGGGUUCUUGCAGAUAGUAUCGGAAGCCCGUCUCUCCAUCAAACAGUUCUGCAAGGUGCUGCUCCAGCAAGUCGAAGACGCCGACAAUGGGCUGGCAGAUAAGCUGAACUUGCUCCUGCAGCCAUAUCAACUGACACUCGCCGACAAGCACUCGAAAGUGAUACUGUAUCAUCUGGAAGCUCUCAUGAACCAAGCGAUGUACCAAGACUUCGAGAACUGCACGUUCCAGAAGAACGGGUCGCCCAGGUGCUUCGACCCAAAGCAGGACCUCCAGGAGAACUUCGCGUCGUUCGUCGCGCUGCGCAACCUGAGCUGGAACGAGGUCCUGAAGAAGGGCACCAAGUACUACUGCGAGGACUUCAGCCGCUUCUGCGACCAGAAGAUGAGCUGCAUCGUGUCCACGCUGAGCUGGUCGUGGCCGUGGGCCGAGCAGCUGCUGCAGUGCUUCUUCGUGGCCGCGAAGUGCAUCUGGCUGCUCCACCUUCUGGCCUUCUCUUUCAGCCCGCCGCUGAUGGUGCUGCGGGUUGAGGAGAACCGGGCCUUCGACCCGAUGUACAUGGAGGAGAUCCAGGUCGAGAGGCAACGGUCGCAGCAGAACCUGUCUCGGGUGAAGAUCAUGGCGAUGCCCGGGUUCUACGUCCAAGACCGGGUGCUGAAAUGCAGGGUGAUCUGCAGAUAUAGCUAG
rnacentral:rRNA from 1 species